GACGAACCGCACGAACGUUAUUCGGAAUCACUGGGCUUAAAGGGUGCGUAGGCGGCGAAGAAAGUUGGGUGUGAAAGCCCUCGGCUCAACCGAGGAAUUGCGCCCAAAACUACUUUGCUUGAGGGAGACAGAGGUGAGCGGAACUUGCGGUGGAGCGGUGAAAUGCGUUGAUAUCGCAAGGAACACCUGUGGCGAAAGCGGCUCACUGGGUCUCUUCUGACGCUGAGGCACGAAAGCUAGGGGAGCGAAGAGGAUUAGAUACCCUCGUAGUCCUAGCCGUAAACGAUGAGCACUUGGUCGGAGGACCUCCCAUAGUUUUCCGGCCGUAGCGAAAGUGUUAAGUGCUCCGCCUGGGGAGUAUGGUCGCAAGGCUGAA
rnacentral:rRNA from 1 species